rnacentral:rRNA from 1 species
UACGUAGGUGGCAAGCGUUAUCCGGAAUUACUGGGGCGUAAAAGAGUUGCGUAGGUGGCAUAGUAAGUAGGUAGUGAAAGCGUGUGGCUCAACCAUACUCACAUUAUCUAAACUGCUAAGCUUGAGGAUGAGAGAGGUUAUUGGAAUUCCCUGUGUAGGAGUGAAAUCCGUAGAUAUAGGGAGGAACACCGAUGGCGUAGGCAGAUAACUGGCUCAUUCCUGACACUAAGGCACGAAAGCGUGGGGAGCAAACGGG